UACGGAGGGUGCAAGCGUUGUCCGGAAUCACUGGGCGUAAAGGGCGCGUAGGCGGCUCAUGAAGGCUGUGGUGAAAGUCCGGGGCUCAACCUCGGAUCGGCCGUGGCGACUCGUGGGCUGGGAGCACUGUAGAGGUGAGUGGAAUUUCCGGUGUAGCGGUGAAAUGCGUAGAUAUCGGAAGGAACACCUGUGGCGAAAGCGGCUCACUGGACCAUUACUGACGCUGAGGCACGAAAGCUAGGGGAGCAAACAGG
rnacentral:rRNA from 1 species